UGGGGAAUAUUGGACAAUGGGGGCAACCCUGAUCCAGCCAUGCCGCGUGCGUGAAGAAGGCCUUAGGGUUGUAAAGCGCUUUCAGCGGGGACGAUGAUGACGGUACCCGCAGAAGAAGCCCCGGCUAACUCCGUGCCAGCAGCCGCGGUAAUACGGAGGGGGCAAGUGUUGUUCGGAAUUACUGGGCGUAAAGGGCGCGUAGGCGGCACAUCAAGUCAGAGGUGAGAGCCCCGGGCUCAACCUGGGAAUAGCCUUUGAAACUGAUGAGCUAGAGUCCGGAAGAGGAUAGCGGAAUUCCCAGUGUAGAGGUGAAAUUCGUAGAUAUUCGGAAGAACACCAGUGGCGAAGGCGACUCACUGGACAGUUAUUGACGCUGAGGUGCGAAAGCGUGGGGAGCAAACAGGAUUAGAUACCCCCGUAGUCC
rnacentral:rRNA from 1 species